AACUUUCAACAACGGAUCUCUUGGUUCUGGCAUCGAUGAAGAACGUAGCGAAAUGCGAUAAGUAAUGUGAAUUGCAGAAUUCAGUGAAUCAUCGAAUCUUUGAACGCACAUUGCGCCCGCCAGCACUCUGGCGGGCAUGCCUGUCCGAGCGUCAUU
rnacentral:rRNA from 1 species